UGCUGUUUCGGAUUAGUGGCGGACGGGUGAGUAAAGUAUAGGGAUCUGCCUGACAGUGGGGGACAACAGCCGGAAACGGCUGCUAAUACCGCAUACGCUCUACGGAGGAAAGUGGGGGACCUUCGGGCCUCACGCUGACAGAUGAACCUAUAUCAGAUUAGCUAGUUGGUGGGGUAAGGGCCUACCAAGGCGACGAUCUGUAGCUGGUCUGAGAGGAUGAUCAGCCACACUGGGACUGAGACACGGCCCAGACUCCUACGGGAGGCAGCAGUGGGGAAUAUUGGACAAUGGGGGCAACCCUGAUCCAGCAAUGCCGCGUGUGUGAAGAAGGCCUUCGGGUUGUAAAGCACUUUCAUUGAGGAGGAAAAGCUAUUGCUUAAUACGUAAUAGCCGUGACGUUACUCAAAGAAGAAGCACCGGCUAACUCCGUGCCAGCAGCCGCGGUAAUACGGAGGGUGCGAGCGUUAAUCGGAAUUACUGGGCGUAAAGCGCGCGUAGGCGGUUUGCUAAGUCAGAUGUGAAAUCCCCGGGCUUAACCUGGGAACUGCAUUUGAGACUGGUAGGCUAGAGUGUGGUAGAGGUGAGUGGAAUUUCAGGUGUAGCGGUGAAAUGCGUAGAGAUCUGAAGGAACAUCAGUGGCGAAGGCGACU
rnacentral:rRNA from 1 species